rnacentral:rRNA from 1 species
GGGCGGUUGGGUAGAGGUUGGAUCCUGGCUCAGGACGAACGCUGGCGGCGUGCCUAAUACAUGCAAGUCGAGCGCAGGAAGCUGACGGAACUCUUCGGAGGGAAGGCAGUGGAAUGAGCGGCGGACGGGUGAGUAACACGUAAGGAACCUGCCUCAAGGAUUGGGAUAACUCCGAGAAAUCGGAGCUAAUACCGGAUAGUUCAUCGGACCGCAUGGUCCGUUGAUGAAAGGCGCUUCGGCGUCACCUUGAGAUGGCCUUGCGGUGCAUUAGCUAGUUGGUGGGGUAACGGCCCACCAAGGCGACGAUGCAUAGCCGACCUGAGAGGGUGAUCGGCCACACUGGGACUGAGACACGGCCCAGACUCCUACGGGAGGCAGCAGUAGGGAAUCUUCCACAAUGGACGAAAGUCUGAUGGAGCAACGCCGCGUGAGUGAUGAAGGUUUUCGGAUCGUAAAACUCUGUUGUAAGGGAAGAACACGUACGAGAGGAAAUGCUCGUACCUUGACGGUACCUUACGAGAAAGCCACGGCUAACUACGUGCCAGCAGCCGCGGUAAUACGUAGGUGGCAAGCGUUGUCCGGAAUUAUUGGGCGUAAAGCGCGCGCAGGCGGCCUUUUAAGUCUGAUGUGAAAGCCCCCGGCUCAACCGGGGAGGGCCAUUGGAAACUGGAAGGCUUGAGUACAGAAGAGAAGAGUGGAAUUCCACGUGUAGCGGUGAAAUGCGUAGAGAUGUGGAGGAACACCAGUGGCGAAGGCGACUCUUGGUCUGUAACUGACGCUGAGCGCGAAAGAAAUUUCC